AGAGUUUGAUCCUGGCUCAGAUUGAACGCUGGCGGCAGGCCUAACACAUGCAAGUCGAACGGUAACAGGAAGCAGCUUGCUGCUUCGCUGACGAGUGGCGGACGGGUGAGUAAUGUCUGGGAAGCUGCCUGAUGGAGGGGGAUAACUACUGGAAACGGUAGCUAAUACCGCAUAAUGUCGCAAGACCAAAGAGGGGGACCUUCGGGCCUCUUGCCAUCGGAUGUGCCCAGAUGGGAUUAGCUUGUUGGUGGGGUAACGGCUCACCAAGGCGACGAUCCCUAGCUGGUCUGAGAGGAUGACCAGCCACACUGGAACUGAGACACGGUCCAGACUCCUACGGGAGGCAGCAGUGGGGAAUAUUGCACAAUGGGCGCAAGCCUGAUGCAGCCAUGCCGCGUGUAUGAGGAAGGCCUUCGGGUUGUAAAGUACUUUCAGCGGGGAGGAAGGGAGUAAAGUUAAUACCUUUGCUCAUUGACGUUACCCGCAGAAGAAGCACCGGCUAACUCCGUGCCAGCAGCCGCGGUAAUACGGAGGGUGCAAGCGUUAAUCGGAAUUACUGGGCGUAAAGCGCACGCAGGCGGUUUGUUAAGUCAGAUGUGAAAUCCCCGGGCUCAACCUGGGAACUGCAUCUGAUACUGGCAAGCUUGAGUCUCGUAGAGGGGGGUAGAAUUCCAGGUGUAGCGGUGAAAUGCGUAGAGAUCUGGAGGAAUACCGGUGGCGAAGCCGGCCCCCUGGGCGAAGACUGACGCUCAGGUGCGAAAGCGUGGGGAGCAAACAGGAUUAGAUACCCUGGUAGUCCACGCCGUAAACGAUGUCGACUUGGAGGUUGUGCCCUUGAGGCGUGGCUUCCGGAGCUAACGCGUUAAGUCGACCGCCUGGGGAGUACGGCCGCAAGGUUAAAACUCAAAUGAAUUGACGGGGGCCCGCACAAGCGGUGGAGCAUGUGGUUUAAUUCGAUGCAACGCGAAGAACCUUACCUGGUCUUGACAUCCACGGAAGUUUUCAGAGAUGAGAAUGUGCCUUCGGGAACCGUGAGACAGGUGCUGCAUGGCUGUCGUCAGCUCGUGUUGUGAAAUGUUGGGUUAAGUCCCGCAACGAGCGCAACCC
rnacentral:rRNA from 1 species